GGUGAACGCUGGCGGCGUGCUUAAGACAUGCAAGUCGAACGGCAGUCUUCGGACUGUAGUGGCGCACGGGUGAGUAACGCGUAACUGACCUACCCCAAAGUCGCGGAUAACGAUUCGAAAGAAUCGCUAAUACGUGAUGUGCUGUCAGAUCCUGUUCUGCCAGUAAAGAUUGAUUGCUUUGGGAUGGGGUUGCGUUCCAUCAGCUAGUUGGUGGGGUAAAGGCCCACCAAGGCGACGACGGAUAGCCGGCCUGAGAGGGUGGCCGGCCACAGGGGCACUGAGACACGGGUCCCACUCCUACGGGAGGCAGCAGUUAGGAAUCGUCCACAAUGGGCGAAAGCCUGAUGGAGCGACGCCGCGUGAGGGAUGAAGGUCUUCGGAUCGUAAACCUCUGAAUCAGGGACGAAAGACACUUCGGUGGGAUGACGGUACCUGAGUAAUAGCACCGGCUAACUCCGUGCCAGCCGCCGCGGUAACAC
rnacentral:rRNA from 1 species